rnacentral:rRNA from 1 species
CCUACGGGUGGCAGCAGUGGGGAAUAUUGGACAAUGGGGGGAACCCUGAUCCAGCCAUGUCGCGUGUGUGAAGAAGGCCCUCGGGUUGUAAAGCACUUUCAGUGAGGAAGAACGCCUGGUGGUUAAUACCCAUCAGGAAAGACAUCACUCACAGAAGAAGCACCGGCUAACUCCGUGCCAGCAGCCGCGGUAAUACGGAGGGUGCGAGCGUUAAUCGGAAUUACUGGGCGUAAAGCGCGCGUAGGUGGCUUGAUAAGCCGGUUGUGAAAGCCCCGGGCUCAACCUGGGAACGGCAUCCGGAACUGUCAAGCUAGAGUGCAGGAGAGGAAGGUAGAAUUCCCGGUGUAGCGGUGAAAUGCGUAGAGAUCGGGAGGAAUACCAGUGGCGAAGGCGGCCUUCUGGACUGACACUGACACUGAGGUGCGAAAGCGUGGGUAGCAAACAGGAUUAGAUACCCGAGUAGUC